UAAAAAAACUUCAAUUUUAUUUAUAUAUAAAAAUAUGUGUUAUAAAUAUUACAAUGAUAAAUUUACAAUAUUAAUUAUUCUAUGAUACAAUUUUUAGCAACAUCAUUACAUUUAUCCAAUCUCUUACAUUACACAUCACCCUCCCUUUAUUUCCAAUGAUAUUUAUCCUGUUAUCCAAUCUCCAGCACCUGCACCAAGAGCAAGGAAAAGUCUAGUAAGUUAGUAACAAUAAUGAGUCCUCUUCAGUGUUAAAGAGCUUAAUCAAACCCGAAAACUGUAACUACAAUAAUAUUAUUAAUAACAAUAGUAGUAACAGUAUUGGUAAUAGUCAUAGUAACAAUAAUAAAUAAUAUAUAAUUAACAAAAAUGACAGCAACAAAAUAAACUAUAUAAUAAUAACUUUGCAAAAAUAACACAACUUUGCAAAAUUAAUAGUAAGCAUUUGUGUAAAACCACAUAACCUGUUCAGAUGCAACACGAAAAAUGGGUGGAUAUAUGUAUGAAUUAUUAUACAGAACCUCAUUAAUUAGAAAUAAACAACCAGUCACACUCAAAUCUGUAGCCUUUCUUCAAUAAAACUUCUGGAGCUAUAUAAUCAGGUGUACCUACAGCGUCUUCCGUGACUGUUACUUCAGUUGAGGAUAUGAUAUCAUGCUCUUGCAUAAUUAUAUCCAUUUCUAUGACCUGCAGAGACUAGUGUUUUCACUCUCUAACAUCAGAGACUAGUGUUUCAACAGCAUCAAAGAUGUCACACAAAAAAUUCUGCCGAGUAAGAAUUCACACAGAGCAACACUCACCAGGUACUGAAUUUUUAUGGAGGGUGAUGGAUGCCAUGUCAAGAAUUUUCUCCACCUGAGCACCAUUGACAUUCUGUAAUACAAAGAUUCAAAUUAACUCAUGUAAAGCUCGGAAAAUAUGGUCUACAUGAUUUACAAUUCUAGAUCUUAUACACAGUUGAGGUUUCCCACAAAUGAUUUUAGCUCUAAAUCCUACUCAUUUGUUAUAACAUUCCCACUUCACCAUGGAAACAAAUAUACUGAGUUCAUAUGUAUAAAAGUCCUCUAUUGUCCCCACCUUAUCACUUGUAGAAGGUUGAAAGCAAUCCAGAAUAUAAUGAUUUACAAAACAAGAGGCCAAUAUAAAAACUGAUUUAACCGUAUCCUCCAUUACUUGGUAGUUGGUUCUCAGAAUUAGAUAAUAGUGAAACGACAAAAUGUUUACAUAACAAGCUCUUUCAAGAUCUGGAAGAAAUACUAGCUCUAUGUCUCUAACUAACAAGUUGCUUAGGCUUGCUUGUUAGAUAGUAAUGUGUCUAUUCAUUAAAAAAUGCCUGUCCUACAUUAACAUCGAGAUUCUCACACUUCAGGAGAAACUUACAAAUGGCCAUAGAUUCACAAGAACCAAGUGAUUAUCACUCCCAUCAGAAACCAAUUAAAGGAUAGCAUUGCUUACAUUUCAUACAGUUAAAGGAUAAUACCGAAUCUGAAAUGCCAUUUCUGCAACAGCCUUGGAAAGCAACCCUGUUUAAAAGCAGAUAAUAAUGUUAAGGAAGGUUAUGAGUUAUAAAGCUAAACAUUUCUUGUGCUUUGCAACAGGAGUUAAAGAUUUGAUCAAAAUAGACGAUUCAGUAGUAUUCAUCGUCAUCUACUCGUAAAAAUAAAGAAAGAAGAAAAAUAAAAUAUAAUUAAUACCAUGGAUUGUUGCUCCUCAGGUGACCAAGUCUUCUCUGUCCCACUUCCUCGCAACUUUCUCUGACAUGUUUCUGAAUUUUGAAUGAAGCUUAAGUAGGUAGGUGCAUAUGAUUCAACUAGUACACAACAUACCUCAGAGUACACAACAAUAGUAAGUGGACCAAGGAGCUGUGCAACAUAAACUGAAACAAGAGGUUGUGCAACACAAACUAAUAAUAAACUGAAACCAAAUAUUCAAUACACAAACAACUAAAUUAAACAAACUAAUACCAUAGAGUUGCUGUAACACAAACUGAAUCCAAAUAUGCGAUGAGUACUGAAACCAAGCAAAUAUGCAAUGAGUGUGCUGCCAUAAAGCUGCUGCAACACAAACUGAAACCCCAAUGCAAUGAGUGUGCUGCUGCAUAGCAUAGCCAUGAGUGUGCACAAACCAAACACAAAGACUGGCUCAUUUUUGCUGCAACACAAACUGAAACCAAACACUGCAAUUUAAAAUGAUUAUGACAAGAUUACUAAUAUUGAACUAUUAAAAAAACAAAGAUUCUAAACUACAACAGAUUGACCAAAAAGGAACCACUACCAUUUCUGAAACUUUCUCAACAGAGAUGGAUGGUGAAAGUCAAAUUAAACGAAACUGUUCUGGGUAAGCACAUGGUAUGCACCAAAACUGUUCUGGGUUAGCAACUGAAAACUCUUAAAUCCUGCAAAUAUAGAAGAUGAGUUAGAAAUAAGUAAAAAACUAACUUAUAAUAAAUAACAGAAAAUGUCAAAAUAAAAAAGAUAAGAAACUUAUCUUUUUUUAGACUUUACACCAAACUAGUUUC
rnacentral:lncRNA from 1 species